rnacentral:rRNA from 1 species
UACGUAGGGUCCGAGCGUUGUCCGGAAUUAUUGGGCGUAAAGGGCUCGUAGGCGGUUUGUCGCGUCGGGAGUGAAAACACGGGGCUUAACCCCGUGCCUGCUUCCGAUACGGGCAGACUAGAGGUAUGCAGGGGAGAACGGAAUUCCUGGUGUAGCGGUGAAAUGCGCAGAUAUCAGGAGGAACACCGGUGGCGAAGGCGGAUCUCUGGGCCUUACCUGACGCUGAGGCGCGAAAGCUAGGGGAGCGAACAGG